ACACAAUCCCCCACAAGGCUCUCAUACAAUCCGUCCCCACUUAGUUUCCAAAUUUAGAAUCAUUAUAGGCAACUUAGAUCCCACAUUUUUUUUCUGAUGUUGUAGCCAACUUAUAUCCCUUGAUGGACAACUUCCAUAGUAUUGUAGGAAAUUGAGGAUCACCCCUAGGGAACUUCGUAGCGAUGUAGGCAACUAGGUUUUUGAGGUCGACAACUUAGGAGCAAUCUUAGGCAACUUUUCACUCUAUGGUAAGCAACUUCCAUAGUAUGGUAGGCAACCAAACUAUCAACAACUUAGUUUUUGAUAUAUGCAAUGUAGCAACCAUGUUAACCACUUAUAACACUACUGCACACAACUAAUUAGAAGGCUACUAGGUGAAUUCACUAAUACACACAGUGCAAUUAAGUUGCUUCUUUGUAGCGCCAAAGUUGCCCAAUGUAGCAUCAAAGUUGCUCUAAAAAAAGUUCGUCAAAAUAUACCCAUAUGGGAUCUAGUUUUGAAGAACUCGUCGCGAGAAACCCAACGGUGAAUAUGAAUCUGAAUACCGAUACUCUAAUCAAAAGCUAUGACAUUAAAUUUUAUAAAACCCAAAUAAAUGCACGUACUUUUCCUUUCUUGAUUGAUGUGUGCAAAAUAGGGAGCGUUAGAAGGGAUGAGGACCAGAUACUUUCCCUUUUUGUAGUGUAAUGAUGACACGGGAUGCCAAUUACCCUUUAUAGCAGGUCUGCUCGGAUGCACCCCGUGCCGUGUGAGUUUUUUGUUGUGUACUGCGUGCGCUCAGGAAGCCCAAUUAGUGCAGCUGCACUAAGAAGCAUUUGGGCAUUAUUUUUACCUUACACAGAAAAGUUUAGGGGAAAAUGUGUGUUGUCCAUCAGGACCCCAACACCCUUACUUAUCGUGCUAACAGUUACGUUGGACUAUAAUACAAGGUCCUUAUUAGACUACAACCUGGAAUUUUGGAUCCCAACUCUUAUUAAACCCUUAGGGCACUCCGGGAGCAUUGUAUCUUGUGUUUUAUCAUAUGCACUAAAUACGUGUUUAGAUACAACUCUUCCAGUGGCUAAUAUCUUAUUGUUGUAUCGAAAUGAGCUGCCAUUUAAUAUGUUCUGUGAGGGAAAAAGACUAAUUAUCUUGGGUUACCUGAUAAUGGUUGUAUCUUGGUAAUAUACAUUCUCUCUCCUUUUCCUCACUAACUAGGCUUCAACAAUGGUAUUUGGACUUUUGCUUAGGUGGGAUGUUUUAGAUACAACUGGCAUCAUUACACUGGGUUUUCCCUAAGUACGACUCAAAUAGUUUACAUGAACUAGCUUGAAAAUAUUUGAAACUUUUUUGGAGAUGACAACCAGAUUCAUUUCAGAUGCAAUUAUAUGUUUUCUGACAAGUGAAAUGCACCAUAGGUCCUAGAACUAUCGAGGGGGUGGCAAGUUAGUCCUAAAGCAUUAAAACUGCAUUUCACACUUUUUUUACCUGAAUUACGAUGGAUAGAGAACAGCUCGAAGAUUGAAUUAUAUAUUGUGAUGUUUAGUGAUCAAGUACCGUGUAAUAAUCAUUUUGACUAAACUGACCCUAUUGAUCUCUGACUUUUGUUCACCACAAUGGGUUUUCUUAUUUGUUGGAAUUUUUUCUGGAAAAAUGCUACUGUGCAAUAAUCAUAAUGACUAAGCUGUCCAUAUUCAUCUUCUGUCAUUGUUUUAUUUGGUUCACAAGUUUUCCAAUUGCCCCUGCUUGUAGCUUGUUAUUUGUUGGUUGUUCAUUGUAUCCUGAUACUCAUUGACAACCUUCUUCUCCAUGCGACAUCUGUGGAUUCUACUGCUCAAACAGGCCAUGCAGGUGCAGGUGAUUGGCAAGAGGAGAUCUAUCAAAUGAUUAAGAGGUUAAAGGACCAAUACUUUGCAGAACUCAGUGAAUUAUUCAAUAAGAUGUGUGUGAAACUACAGCAUGUUGACAGCAUUAUUCCACCUCAAAUAUCAUCUGAGCAGUAUGAUAAAAUGAAGAGCUUUAAAAUAAUGUUGGAGCGCAUAUUACAAAUGCUGCAAAUUGGCAAAAGUAGUGUCCAACCUUCUAUGAGGGACAACGUUCCUCGAUAUGAGAAACAGAUUAUCAGUAUCUUGAAUUCACAAAGGAAGCCAGUGCAGCCACAAAUACAACAACAGUUCCAACCACCUGCAGAUUAAGAGCCUGAAGGAUCAAUACUUUGCAGAACUCAGUGAACUGUUCAAUAAAUUAUCUGUGAAGCUACAGCAUGUUGACAACAUAAUACCACCUCAAAAUCCUUCUGAAAAGUAUGACAGAAUGAAGAGCUUUAAAAUAAUGUUGGACUGUAUAUUACAAAUGCUGCUAAUUAGAAAGAGUACUAUCCAACCUGCUAUGUGGGACAAAGUUCCUCAAUACGAGAAACAAAUUAUCAGCAUCUUGAGUUCACAAAGGAAGUAGUGCAGAAAAAAAAGGAAGCUAGUGCAGUCACAAAUACAGCAACAGUUCCAGCCACCUUCAGGACAAGCUCCUAAUUCUAGCAUUUUGCAGCAACAACAGCCUUCCCAAAAUUUGCAGCAGCAUGAUACUCAUACUAAUACUCAAGCAAGUUUGUCAACUAUGAGCACCCAAUUACAGUCCUCUAGUGCAGAUGGCAUCCAGCAUGUACCUGCGCCUCCAACAAGUAACUUCGGUGGCCCCAUGCAGCCAAACGAUGCAAACAUAUAGCAUCAGGUUGGUUCUAAUUUGUAGGCAAUUUCAAUUCUUUGCAGCAUGGUUCGUUGAGUGGUGCAUUACGAUAGGGAAGCACUGGGUCGAUGCAGGGAACAAUGAAUACAUAACUGCAGACAAGUAGUGGCAUGUUAUAUCACAACCCAAUGGGUACGCCAACCUAGUGGUAACUCCGUGUAAGCAAAUGCAAGUUCAUUACAGCAGCUGAAGCAGCAACAGCAGGAUCAUCAUAUGAUGCAGUGUCAGCAAAUAAAGCGUCAGAUGUUUCAACAGUACCAGCAAAAGCAACAAAUGCUUCAACAGCAGCUCCCAAUACAGCAACAAUUAUAGAAACAACAAGUACAGAUGCAGCUUCCACAGUUUCAUGCUGGAGAUGAUGUUAAUGAGUUAAAGGUUAGGCAAGGAACUGCAAUGAAACCUGGAGUUUAUCAACAACACUUUGGCCAAUGCAGUAAUUAUUAUCAUCAUCAGAGUUGAAACAGAGUGGUGUUUUCCCAAUUUUGUCACCACAAAACUUCCAAGCAUCAUCCCCACAAAUUUCGCAGCAUUCUCCUCAUGUAGAUCAGCACAAUCCGUUGCCAUCUCAAGUAAAGACUGGGACACCAUUGCAUUCAGCUAACUCACCAUUUCUUCCAUCGCCAUCCCAAUCUGUCGCCCUCUCUCCCAUGCAAGUGGAUUCAGACAAACCACACUCCAAUAUACCAUCACUUACUAAUACUGGCAUGCUGGACAUCAGAAAACAUCGCUAGCGCCCCAGACACAAAACCCCAUUAAGAUCAACCUCCUUGGAAGCAAAAGUUGUGGUUGAUUCAGGCAGACUUCUGCCACUGCAACAACCAUGCACAAAUGGUGCUGCCGGUGGAUGCACUUUCGGCUGUUCCAAGUGCUACUACUAUACGAUGCAAAAACAAUUCUUUAACUGCAUGGCGCACGCACACUCAUGAGUAUCCUUGGAUCCUGAUGUAACUAUCAAGUCCCCCGCCUUGUGAUAUCCUUCUGGUCGCUCCUUGAACCAAAAUCGCUGCAAUGAGAAACCAACCAGGCCAAUCCUUUUCUGCCUUAACAUAUAUGAAAUUGUUGAGUGUUUGCUUUGCAAAGAUAAAGAUGCUGCUCGUCCGGCUUGCUUGAAUUCUUUUUUGCUUGCUGUUGGAGCAUGGGCACAGUUGGAACAGGGUGGAGGCAACUCGGCACCAGAUCAUGGAUGUGGAGGGAGGCGGUGAUUGACAGUUGCAAAAGGUGGGGAGGGUGGACGCUGGCGGCGCGGAUGGAGGAUCAAGGCUAUCACCAGGAACUACCAAUUACAGACUGGUGCCAGGCCUUGAAGCACACAGCAUGCUUUCUAAAGGGGGCACCCUAGGAAUCAGACUCCUAUCAAACCGGUCGCUAGCGAUUUGGUGCAUUCUAGUCGUCUGAUCUUUUGGCUAGAUUCCUUUGUUAAAUACCUGAUUUGUUGAUAACUUGCUUCCGUGAAAUCUGCUGCUUCCUGAUCGUUGUCUCCACAAUCUGCGAUCUGUUUCCUAAAACUGCUUCCUAGAAUGGCUUGAAAUUCCAUUCUAUGAUCCUGAAAAAUAUGGUUAUUUCUCACAAGUAAAUCCUGUUAUU